CUAAGAAUAUUCCGCAAUGGACGAAAGUCUGACGGAGCGACGCCGCGUGGAUGAUGAAGGCCGGAAGGUUGUAAAAUCCUUUUAUGACUGAGGAAUAAGUGAAGUGAGGGAAACGCUUCAUGGUGACUGUAGGUCAUGAAUAAGCAACGGCUAAUUACGUGCCAGCAGCCGCGGUAACACGUAAGUUGCGAGCGUUGUCCGGAAUUACUGGGCGUAAAGGGUGCGUAGGCGGUAGGCUAAGUUGGAUGUGAAAUACCUGGGCUUAACUUGGGGGCUGCAUUCAAAACUGGUUUACUAGAGUUCAGGAGAGGGAAGCGGAAUUCCUAGUGUAGCGGUAAAAUGCGUAGAUAUUAGGAGGAACACCGGUGGCGAAGGCGGCUUUCUGGACUGACACUGACG
rnacentral:rRNA from 1 species